CUGUGGCCGCGCGAGACUACCUUCGGGGACGGGCGCGUAAGCACGAAAUUACGUUGAGGCCCACACGGAAGCACAUCCGGCGACGACCAUGAGCGCCCCGACUCCCGCCGUCCACUCGCUCAGCUCCCCGCCGCCGCCGCAGGCGCCGGCAACGCCUCCUCUCCGGCGCGCUACCUCCGCGGCGUCCACCCUCCGGGAGUCCCCAGAGCCUCCUCUAGCGCCCCUGAGCAUCUCCUCUCGCCGCGCCGCCCUCCUCGCCCUCGUCCUGGCCGCCUCGCCGGCAAGGCCCGCCGCCGCCGCCUUCUCCUUCAGCUUCCCUGGGCCGAAGGAGUUGCUGCGGGAGCAGAAGAGGAAGUCGGCGCGCUUCCUGCUCGCGCCCAUCGCCGCCUCCCGCGAGACCCUCGUCAAAGCCCAGGACCUUCUCGCUUCGGAGAAUGCGUCUGCCGCGGACGCCGAGGAGGUGAGGGGGCGCCUGAGCGCGGCGGGGAGGGACUGCGUGCCGCGGGAGAGGAACUCGGUAGUCGCCUUUCAGUCACGAACCGGCGUCGAGGUCUGCACAUUCAGCUUGAUUCUGAAGAAUGCCGCGUCGCUGCUCGACGAUAAGGAUCCUGUCAAGGUUGAAGCUGAUGCCAGCCUUGCAGAGCUAAUACAAUCAUUCUCUGACCUGGGAACUGUGGUGGAGAACAGUAACUUUGAGCUCAGUGAUGAUAGAAAGAAGAUGAAGGAUGACCUGCUGAGCACUAUCUCCGCCCUUGAUAAAUACGAACAGGGUGUUAAGGAUUGUUUAGGUGUAUAGAAUACUUUGCUGAUUUUCAUUAAGUUUACUCUGAAGCAACUCUUGAGGAUUGAAAUCAUUUCAGAAUACCAAUCGUUUUGUUUUCCUGCCAUGUGUGGUAAGGGUUUUGCUUGCCUCUGGUCUUUGCUCACCAUUGUCUUUUUUGUUCAAUACAGUUUGUAUAUUUUGUUUGGCAAAUGCUAUUCAUAGUAAAUAGAAUCGCUCACCCUAUAGGUCAAAUGAAAUAACAAGAGUUAUUGGUUCAGAUAAGAUAUAUGUCACUUCCUUCAAUGUUUUCUAUCUGUUGUGUUUCGGUUACCUCGUUUAAUGUUUUCCAUCUCUUGUGUUCCACAUUUUAUCAGAAUGUUUAAUGCCAGUAAAAUAUUUAUCCAUGCAUCUUCCUGUAGUGUGGUUCCCUUCCUUCGCUUUGUGUACCAUGAGAUUGUUUUAUGCUCACACUUAUUGAUGAUUUUUAAUGAACUGUGAUUGCUUGGAAGGUACUAUAAAUGGGUGAAGAACUGGGCAAAUCCUUGAUAAAGUGCACCUUUCAGUCCGAGAUAAUCCACAAAAUCUUGUCAGUGAAAAAUAUCGAUAAGUGUAUUAUACAAAGUCACAUCUGGGUUUGAGUGCGACCAUACUCUCCAAAUAAUCAGAGGAAAAUGAAGAAUCAUAUUUCAAACAGCGAUCCAGUGCAUAUAAAGCCUUAUAAAGUGGUGUGAUCAUCUGGAGAAGCAGAGGCUUCUACCAAAUACAAUCUUCGGCAUGGUGUGCCAUCCUCUGGAUUAAUCUCCACUGUUCUUGGCAAUCUCCUCAGCUUAUCAAACAGAUUUUGUGGAUGAUUUAGGAGACCAAAAUGUGCUUGGGGGUCUCCAAUUUGUGACAACAUUGCCUGAGAGAACCCGAUAGAAGGCAGUAGGAGAUCAGGGCUGUCGUGGUAGAAAUGGUACAUCGUCUGCGACAGUGAUGCCGCAUUCUUGUUCAUAAAGUCAGCAAGGAGGACCGUGCAGGCUGAGGUGCGGCAUGCCGCAAUGGUUUCAAGGACUUGCAUCGCAUGCACAUGAUGAAGGUAAUAGAGGAUUCCUUCAAGAACCCAUACAGUAUUUCUUUCAGGAACAUACCCACAACUCUGUAGCUUGGUCAUCCAGUCAACAUCUCGUAUAUCAGCAGGAACUCUAGUCAAUGAUUUUGCCAUCAUGGUGAGUUUUUGAUGAUUUCCAGAACUCAUUGCUUCAUGCAGAAUAUCUGAUUUCAUAUCUAGGAGAUCUGCAAAGUCGAGUUCAAAUACGGCGCAGUCCUUUAGGCAGCCCAGUCGAUAGGCU
rnacentral:rRNA from 1 species